rnacentral:rRNA from 1 species
UACGGGGGGGGCAAGCGUUGUUCGGAAUUACUGGGCGUAAAGGGCUCGUAGGCGGCCAACUAAGUCGGACGUGAAAUCCCCAGGCUCAACCUGGGAACUGCGUCCGAUACUGGAUGGCUUGAAUCCGGGAGAGGGAUGCAGAAUUCCAGGUGUAGCGGUGAAAUGCGUAGAUAUCUGGAGGAAUACCGGUGGCGAAGGCGGCAUCCUGGACCGGCAUUGACGCUGAGGAGCGAAAGCCAGGGGAGCGAACGGG